rnacentral:lncRNA from 1 species
UUAAAGCUGAAUCCACAUUUGAACAGUUUCUCAUCUCUCGAUCUGGUUGGGAUUGGCAAAGGAGAGAGUGGAGUCUGCUUUCUUCUGCUGUCUGAGGUCUGUGAAAAACCUCAGUCCCUGGGUUACCAAGUGUGUGCCACCUCAUCCCCAGAGAGCUUGAGGAUUGGAGCCUGCGCUAUGCUCCUUGACUGAUGAUGGGGUUGUGGUCCAUGCGCUGAAGUGUCUUCAUUGUUUAUGCUUGUCAUCCCGUGACUGAUGGCAGCUACAGCUGGUAGGCUGCUGUCUGCCAUUGCUAGACCCUAAUGGUGUUGCUUAACAACAGCCCGGAAGAGGU